ACAUCAGAGCCUUCUACAAGUACUCAAAAGGCGGCCAACACGUCUGAGUCAUAAAAAGGCGUAUGCAGGUUCAUCAACUGGUCUGCUCAAAAGCUUUGGAAAGAUGAAGACUGAAGAUUGCUACUUGGCUCUGGCUAUCUGAUGAGCACUGAGAAUAACCAAAAUCAGCUCACCAGUCCAAGUCCGAUGGAUCCAGUUGUCCACAGUGAAAAGGAUAGGAUGCUGGUGAAGAACCUGGGUCCAGAAGAGGGCCAAAGAAAGUGUGGUCUAAGGCUGAUUUCAGAGAUCACAUAUGUAAAGGAAAACUGGCCACCAAAACUGAAUGCAGUCACGGCACGCUGGUGGAAGGUCCUGUGUUACCACAAAGAACGGUGCAGAAUAUAAGGGACUUUGUGAGAAACUGAGGAAUAGCUGCAAAGAGGCAGUCACAGAAACAAAAGCUGUAAACCCACUGGCUACUAUUGUAGUUAUUUUUCUGUGUGUGUUGUGGUUAUACCGAUGACUUCAUGUGUUUUAUGAAGCAAUCCGUUUCAACACGUUCUUUAUGUUAUAGCAGAAAACUAAUGUCGGUUGAAAAGAGUUGUGAACCAACAGGCAAACAUUAGUGUUAUUUUAUUUUUUAUAUUGUUGUCUUUAUGGUCAGGAGAAAGUGCACUUGUUUUUACACGCUUGUUUUAUUCAAAUAUUGUUAAUAUGAGAAUGAGUUGUGCCUCAAAAACAUUAAAUACAACAUACAUACACGCCCUCUGGUGGACGACUAGGGAAAUUGCAGCUGACUUGGAAAAGAAAGCCACUGGUCAACACAAUUUCAGCACCAUGGCCAUGGACAGCUCUCCAUACAAAACACUAACAGGUGUUGUUUAACCCUCCUAUUGUGUUCGGGUCAAAUCUGACCGAUUUACUACUUUCAUCAAUCAUUAAUAUUUUGUUUUACAUCUGAUUGCUUCAAGGCCUUAUGAUAUCCUCCAUAGUAGGCAUUUCAACAUAUAACAUUUCUGAUCACCACUUUCAGUCAACUUUGUUACAUCCAUGGUGUUCCCGGUCAAAAUUGAUUAUUAAUGGGUAACUCUAGAUUAAUUUCAUCCAACAGAUAGCACACACACACACACUCUGAACAAUCAGGUAUAAUUUAUGGGAACCCAUUUUUCUCAUGUGCUUAUUCCCCCAUUUUUUUCAAAUCUUCUCACACACCCCGUAUAUACAGCCUUUAUUUGUGCCUUGCUCUCAUUUUACUCUGUGAGCACAAUGAGUGGGCAACCGAUUAGGCAAUUAUCUGUCAGAGAGGUUCUUGACCAAAUCUUUGAACCAGAUGAAGUUGAAGUUGACCCAGAAAUAAAGGAGGAUGUCUCAGAAAUGGAAGACAACAUCGAUCCUGAUUGCAAUCAAGACUUUUGUGAGACUGACCGGUCAACAGAUACUGAGGAAGAGGCACCUGUGGAAGCACCUUCCCUGCACACCAGCCUCUACCACUCUGGUUAGGAGUCUGCAAGCCCUAGCCGCUGCCCUGGCCGCUCUCCCCCAACAACGACAGGGGCAGAAAAGGAAGAGACGCAAGCUCUGUGCCCCUAGAGACAAUAAAACAAGCCUUAAAUGCUACAAAUGUGAUGCUUAUGUUUGCAAGGCACACUCCGACAUGAUGGUAAAAUGCCAGUCCUGUGUGUAAACACACACUUGACUAUUAUUUUUGAUGUUCUGAUGUUCUAUCAAUUUUGGUCUCUGUUUUGUUUAGUUUUUUUACAAUAAAUGUUAAUUACAUUACAAUUGUUUUAUUUUCAGUGUAUAUUCUUUAUAUAUUUAGUGCAGUUGUUCACGUAAACCAGUAGUCUGAGACAUUGUUUACAGCUUACAGCUGUGUUAGAUCAAAUUUGGUGAUGAUUAAUGGUUUUUGUGUUGAUGUAAGAGCUGUUAAAACAGACAGGUCAAAUUUGACCGGGAACACCAAAGUAAGGGGGGAGAAACGAACACAAGAGGAGGGUUAAACUGGUUUAAGGAUGUGAGUGACAUGUGUCGCCCUGUGCUGAGUAUCAUGUUGCUGUCACAGAAGAGACUGAACACAUUUGAUGUUUUUUGUGACCAUGAUUUCACUACAAUUUCACCAAA